rnacentral:tRNA from 2 species
GCGGUCGUGGCGGAACUGGCAGACGCGCUAGCUUGAGGGGCUAGUGACCGUUUUAGGUCGUGGUGGUUCGAGUCCACUCGGCCGCA